rnacentral:lncRNA from 1 species
CGAGGGACGGUCGGCGGGGUCGCUAGCUGGCGCAAGGCCAGAACCCGGGCGGGCCCGCGGCUAGAGGCGCGGCCUUCCUGCCAACUCUGAGAAGGAAAAGAGCAGCUCAUCUCUUGGCUCCGCCCAAUGGGGAACGGCCCCGCCCUUGCCCUUGCAGUUCAUCCCUGCCACGGGAGCUCAGCCCUGACACACAGCACUCAGCUUUACCAGCUGCAGCACCCCACGCCCAUGACCGGAUGGCAGCCACCACACAAGGAGGCAGAGCCCGCGUGGUUGCGUAGGUGGCCGCACUGACCUGGGGCCAUGGCCAGGGCCACCUCUGCAAAGCCCUCUACAGCUCACCCAGCCACACCCUCUUGCUCAGCCUAGGGCGCAGCAGCACGCUUUACCUCCGGGCGAGCCAGGAUGUGGGAAGCAGCCGCUCUAAAUCCUCCCCACAAUCCACAUUGCUCCUGAAAUCCCCCUCUCACCCCAGAAGGGGUGCAGGAGGACUGCACCCCCACCUGCCUGUCUGCUCCUUCCACUACCCACUGUCAGGGCUGUCAUCUGUGGUGUCAAAUGCUUAGGGUGGGUACGGCGGGCCUUUAGGGUCCAGCAUUCUGAGAGACAAAAGGCCCGACCUGAAACAACUGCUCUGGUGAAAAAAUGGAAAAAACAAAACAAAACAAAGCACUCUGGACUCCACUCUCCUCCCUUUUGACAUCAGGACCAUAAUCAUCACAGCUGGAAGUGGAGGCAUACAUAAGCUACUACAGAGGCUGAGGCAGGGGGAUCCAGAGCUUGAGGCCAGCUUGGGCAACUCAAAAUAGAAAGGGGAGGAGUUCUGGGAUGGGAUGUGGCUCAGUGGCAGAACACUUGCCCAAUGGGCAAGACCAUGGGUUUGAUCCCCAAUGCCAACACCAAGAAAACAUAAGAAUUAUAAUGAAUGCACCU